GUGGGCGGUGGUGGCGCUCGAGGGCGGCUGCAGGACCGCGGCCGGACGGUAGAGGCCUCCCUUCCGAGGCGGCGGCUCGGACGUCGAGCGCCGGGGCUCUGCUCGCCGGCUCGUCCUUCCCGGCGCGGUCCGGCACGGCCGGGCCCAGCGCGGCCCAUACCCGCCUGCUCUCCUCCCCCUGCAGGCGGCAGCGCCCGUUUUCUGAGGUCCUUUCAAGCACGGAUCGCAGUGCCCAGUGGUCAAUACCCUUACUUUUAUCCAGUGUCUGCUUCAUUUAAACUUAAUCAACUCCAUCAAUGAACUGGAACAGGGAAACGUCCCUGCGGUCCAAUUUCCUGUCCCUUACUUUACCUGGUCUUUUGCUGCCCCACUGCAACACCCUCGGGACUUCAGACAUCAAGAGGACGCCACAGAGGUUUCGCUAAGUGCCUGGUCUUCAGAGUGGGGACGAUCCCUUUCUCUCGCGAGCUUAGAGGUGCUGCCGUCCCCGCUGAACCGCUGGUGAAAGGUGCAGGUCGGCGGUGCUGGCCUCGGCGCGGGCUCCGGGACACGUGACCCGCGGACAGCGUUGGGAGAGAGCAACUACCAGGUCUCACGGGGGAGCGGGACUCCUCCGCCCCGGCAUCCACACCUUCCCGCCUGGCUGGCCUCGAGCUGGGCUGCCGACUUGGGAAGAUGGCGUCGGCUGAGACGCAGCCGCCCAGGGGUGGGGGUGCACUCCGCACCCAGGAGGCUGGGCGCGAGCGUGGGUGGGUCGUGUUUUCCCUCGCCACCAGUUAAUCCUGAGGCACAUCCCCCGGACUGGGAGAAACUGGCGCUGCGCCCUUCCUGCCCUUCGCUUCGGGUCCCCAGACCCUUCCCUGGGGGCGCCGACGCACGGUCCGAGAGCCUCGAGGUUCGUUCCUAGAGGCGGUAGGGACAGGCCGUGAGAGCGGGGACCAGGAGGCUCUGCCGAGACCCCAUCAUCAGACCCUGUUCCCCGACUCUUGGAAGAAACAUCCCAUGGCUAGAGCCAGGCUUCUCCUAGUCCGCAAGCGCGGGGUCGCCAGGGCAGGUGCGCGCUAGCUGCGCAGCUCCCUCCAGCCUCCAGAGCGGUGCAAGGGACCCGUUCCGCCCCGGCUUGCAGCGCCCAGCCCGGCCUUCACGCCAUGAGCGCCGGCGCCUCACGGGCUCGAAAGCUGGUGCUUCUAAUGUGAGGAAAAACACGGAAUGACAAGUGUGGGAAAGAGCAAGCACUAAAUUACUGUCAGAAAAAUAAACGGAGUAGCACAGUGGUGCUCAGUGAUUUACGGGGGCAAUUAGUCACCACCCCACGGCGCUGCUGAGGACAGCAAGGCAGCAGACAUGUCAGGCCCACGAGGAAGAAGAGACUUUGCGCUGCUCUCCAGACAACUUUUCAAACAACAAACAACAAGAAUCUGAGCAUAUUAGGUUCCAUGUCUUCAGUCUGGGUGCCUACCCUUCAUAUUUUUCUUCUACCUUAAUACAUAAAUGUAGCUUUCGCACAGUAUUAACGUGUUCUGUGUUAAAAAACCUCCAACUGCAGCUUUUUUCUCUCCCACUCUUCAAAGUAGGUUCUUUCCCAUCCCUUACAAAACAACAGAAAAAUCCCUUCUUGCUCCCCAAUUUUCCCGUAGUGUAUGCCUUCACUGUGUCUUAUUACUUCUUGCAUCUUGUUGCCUAUGUUCCACAUUUGUGCAGAGCCACUGGCUACUAAGAAGUUUUAUCUGAAACUCCUCCGCAGAAGUUUGAUAAGCUGGUAUGAGGAGGUGACAAGGAAUGCAAAACAGCAUCAAUGAAGACUGUUCACUUUUCCAUAUUUGUUAAUAUGUUCUUUAACACACUCUCUAUAUUUGCAUACAUAACAGCAAAAUAAACCUACUCAGGAAGAAUUAAUUGAUGUUCAUUCCCUAAUAAAUAUCCAUCGUUAGAAGAAACCAGAGUGGAAGGUCAGGAAGAACCUAGGAAACACAAAGAAUAUAUUGAUUAAAUACCACUUAGUGAAGUGAAUAAAUGAAAUUCAUCAAGAGUUUAGUACCCUUGAGUAGAUAUUUCUUAAGCAUUUUACUUAUUACUUAAGAAUUCCUUUUCUCAUUUGAUCUUGCUCUUGUUUUAGGCAAGAAUACCUGCUGUGUUAGAACUGUGUUCAAUGUGUAUGUAUACAGUUGGAGGAUGUGCUCCAACAUGCUCUACCUUUGGCCUCUAAUCUGGAGUCAUAAUGAACCAGAACCGUAUUGAUGAGCUUGGUACCCAGCCUGGUGCACCAUUCAACCGGACACUGGAUUUCUGCUAAAGAGGGCUACAAUGAAGAGACUCUUCAGAUUUUUCUUGCUAUUCUUCCAUUAUUCUGUUACUAGGCUUUGUUCCCCUUGAAUUUUAUAAGCAUACACUUUUAAAAGCAAGUAAUAACAGACACUAAGAUUUGACACAGAAUUGCAUAUUUGCACCUACAGAGGCACUGGUUUUCAACUAUUCUAACGAAAAGAGCAAACCCAACCUGGAAGGAAGGGAGCUGUGUUUCUCUGCAACACCACAGGCAUAUGAAAUUACUCACAUCUUAUGAAGCUACCGGGGAUAAUUCAAGGUGGAAAUUUAACCAAAAUUAUUUUUUAACCAUGAAUAAAGUGCAUUUAAAAGUGCAUCAAAUAUUUUUAGAUUUCUCUUUUUUCUAAAGUCACAUUGUAGUUUCUGGUAGAGGGACACACUGGGAGAACUGGCAUAUAAAAAAAUGAAAUUUGAGAUACAACAUUAUAAAAAAAAUCCCUAUGUGGGGGCAUGUUUUUAUAUACAUGUUAUUUUUGUUUAGAAAUUAUGAGCUAGGGAGGAAUGAAAAUGACCUUGGCUUUUUAUAAUUACUGAUAAAAAUGAUAGGCUUUAAUAUUUGGAUUCAAAUGUUUACUAAUCAUGCAACUUUCAUACAUGUCAAAGAAAGGAUUUAGACUGAAGAUUGAGGGGAUAUAGCUCAGUGGCACAAAUGCCUGCCUGGCAAGUACGGUCCUGAGUUUGAUUCCCAGUACCAAAAAAAAAAAAAAAAAAAUAGACUAAGGACUGAAAACAGUAGGCUGGGGCUUCCUGUGUGCUCCUGUGUCUGUGUUUGUUCAGAACGUUUAUGCAAUAUUCUGACUUGGCUGUAAUAUAUAAUUCUUAGCUAUUAUUUCAGCUGCAGCAAUAAUUUUUAGAUUAAUGAUUAUAAUUUUGGUAAGACAUGCAUGAAAAGUUAUAUGUUCAUGCUUGAAAGGAGGAUCAUUAAAUAUUCAUUAUUACCACUCAAAUUAGUUGUCAUGCUCUAUAUAACAGUUACCCAUUAUCAUUUCACUAGUUUAGAUUCAGCAAUAAGUGAACAGCCAUAUAUAUAUGGCUCAUAGCAGUAGAGGAAUUUUGGGAGGGCAGAUGAGGAAUAGGGAGAGAAAAGAUUUUAAAAUCCAUUUGACAUAUUUAUGUUGACAAAUUUAUUUAAAGGAGUUACUGUGUUGUCAAUAAACAUGUUUGUUGGAAUAUGAUUGUGGCUGGAUUUGCUUCUAGCUGUCUAAUUACUCUGUGAUUGUGAACAACAUUACAUCUCCAAGUAAUGAUGAAGGAAGAAUUAUAAAGGCUGAGAUAUUUUAGUCUUUUGCACAUGUCUAACCUUGCCAUGAAAAAGAGCUCCUUAUUUGUAUAAGCAGGCAUUGAAAUCUUGCUUUUUCAGUGAAGCUGCAUUGUAUAAUUUGUUUUCUCCAUCUGGCAACAAAUCUAUCCCUAAAAAAGGAAAG